GAUGAACGCUAGCUACAGGCUUAACACAUGCAAGUCGCGGGGCAGCAUGGGGGUUGCUUGCAAUCCCUGAUGGCGACCGGCGCACGGGUGAGUAACGCGUAUCCAACCUGCCCUUCACCACGGGAUAACCCGGCGAAAGUCGGACUAAUACCGUAUGUUGUCCAUUGACGGCAUCCGAUUUGGACGAAAGGCUUAGCGGUGAGGGAUGGGGAUGCGUCGGAUUAGCUUGACGGCGGGGUAACGGCCCACCGUGGCUACGAUCGGUAGGGGUUCUGAGAGGGAGGUCCCCCACACUGGAACUGAGACACGGCCCAGACUCCUACGGGAGGCAGCAGUGGGGAAUAUUGGUCAAUGGGCGUAAGCCUGAACCAGCCAAGUAGCGUGCAGGAUGACGGCCCUAUGUGUUGUAAACUGCUUUUAUGCGGGGAUAAAGGGACCCACGUGUGGGUUUUUGCAGGUACCGCAUGAAUAAGGACCGGCUAAUUCCGUG
rnacentral:rRNA from 1 species